GGGCCUUUAGCUCAAUUGGCAGAGCAGCGGACUUUUAAUCCGCGGGUUGUGGGUUCGAGUCCCACAGGGCCCACUA
rnacentral:tRNA from 1 species